rnacentral:ncRNA from 1 species
GAUAAGUUUUAUUCUUGCUGAUUUUAUUUACUUUAAAUUAGUAUUAUAUGUAGUUUAUUGUCAUUAAAUUUUCUUAAUGAAUUUUAGUUAAUGUAAUGCAGUAAUAAGAAUUAAAUAUUUAAGAAAUUUUGAAUUAGUUAUUUUUAUUAAGUAUUGAUAAAAUAUGUGCCAGCAGUCGCGGUUAAACAUGAAAUAUAAGUAAAUAUUAUAAGUUAAAUUAGUUAUUUUGAUAUAUUUAAUAUAUUAAGUUAUUUUUAGGUGAAAUUUAAUUUUUUUAAAAAUUAAUUUAUAGAUAGAAAGAGACUGAGAAAUCUUAUUAAUUUAGACUAGGAUUAGAUACCCUAUUAUAAGGAUUUAAAAUUAUUAAGCUUGAGUAGUAAUAGUUAUGAUCUUGAAACUUAUAGAAUUUGGCGGUGUUUUAGUCUAUUUAGAGGAAUCUGUCCCGUAAUCGAUAGUCCACGUUGAACUUAACUUGAUUUAUAAAUUUGUAUACCGCCGUUUUAUGAAAAUCUUUUUAGAGUAAAUUUUCUUGAAUUUUAAUUAUAAGGUAUUUCAGGUCAAGGUGCAGUUUAUGAUUAAGGGGUGAUGGAUUACAAUAUAACAAUGUAUAUGAAUUAUAAUUUGUAAAUUUUGUAUGAAGGUGGAUUUAAUAGUAAUAUUUUAUAGAUUGUAAAUAUGAUUUUAGCUCUAAGAUGUGCACACAUCGCCCGUCACUCUCGUUAGGUUUAAGGCGAGAUAAGUCGUAACAAAGUAGCUGUACCGGAAGGUGUAGCUAGAAUGAG